UAGUGGCAGACGGGUGAGUAACAUGUAGGUAUCUGCCCUUUGGCCUGGAAUAACACGAGGAAACUUGUGCUAAUACUGGAUAAGUCUUUACGGAGAAAGCUUUAUGCACCAUUGGAUGAGCCUGCACUUGAUUAGUUUGUUGGUGGGGUAAUGGCCUACCAAGACUGUGAUCAAUAGCUGAUUUGAGAGGAUGAUCAGCCACAUUGGGACUGAGACACGGCCCAAACUCCUACGGGAGGCAGCAGUGGGGAAUCUUGCACAAUGGAGGAAACUCUGAUGCAGCGAUGCCGCGUGAGUGAAGAAGGCCCUUGGGUUGUAAAGCUCUUUCGUCGGGGAAGAAAAUGACUGUACCCGAAUAAGAAGGUCCGGCUAACUUCGUGCCAGCAGCCGCGGUAAUACGAAGGGACCUAGCGUAGUUCGGAAUUACUGGGCUUAAAGAGUUCGUAGGUGGUUGAAAAAGUUAGUGGUGAAAUCCCAGAGCUUAACUCUGGAACUGCCAUUAAAACUUUUCAGCUAGAGUAUGAUAGAGGAAAGCAGAAUUUCUAGUGUAGAGGUGAAAUUCGUAGAUAUUAGAAAGAAUACCAAUUGCGAAGGCAGCUUUCUGGAUCAUUACUGACACUGAGGAACGAAAGCAUGGGUAGCGAAGAGGAUUAGAUACCCUCGUAGUCCAUGCCGUAAACGAUGUGUGUUAGACGUUGGAAAUUUAUUUUCAGUGUCGCAGGGAAACCGAUAAACACACCGCCUGGGGAGUACGACCGCAAGGUUAAAACUCAAAUGAAUUGACGGGGACCCGCACAAGUAGUGGAGCAUGUGGUUUAAUUCGAAGAUACGCGCAGAACCUUACCAACACUUGACAUGUUCGUCGCGACUCUAAGAGAUUAGAGUUUUCGGUUCGGCCGGACGAAACACAGGUGCUGCAUGGCUGUCGUCAGCUCGUGUCGUG
rnacentral:rRNA from 1 species